AUGAACGCUGGCGGCGCGCCUAAUACCUGCAAGUCGCGCGCACAGACGAGGAGCUUGCUCCUCUGACGUUAGCGGCGGACGGGUGAGUAACACGUGGAUAACCUACCUAUAAGACUGGGAUAACUUCGGGAAACCGGAGCUAAUACCGGAUAAUAUAUUGAACCGCAUGGUUCAAUAGUGAAAGACGGUUUUGCUGUCACUUAUAGAUGGAUCCGCGCCGCAUUAGCUAGUUGGUAAGGUAACGGCUUACCAAGGCGACGAUGCGUAGCCGACCUGAGAGGGUGAUCGGCCACACUGGAACUGAGACACGGUCCAGACUCCUACGGGAGGCAGCAGUAGGGAAUCUUCCGCAAUGGGCGAAAGCCUGACGGAGCAACGCCGCGUGAGUGAUGAAGGUCUUCGGAUCGUAAAACUCUGUUAUUAGGGAAGAACAAAUGUGUAAGUAACUAUGCACGUCUUGACGGUACCUAAUCAGAAAGCCACGGCUAACUACGUG
rnacentral:rRNA from 1 species